AUUGAACGCUGGCGGCAGGCCUAACACAUGCAAGUCGAACGAUUGGCGGACGUGUGCAUCAUGUCUGGGACCCUGCCUGUUGGAGGGGGAUAACUACUGGAAACGUUAGCUAAUACCGCAUACCAUCGGAUUGGCCCAGAUGUGAUUAGCUUUUAGGUGGGGUAAAGGCUCACCUAGGCGACGAUCCCUAGCUGUUCUGAGAGGAUGACCAGCCACACUGGAACUGAGACACGGUCCAGACGCCUACGGGAGGAAGCAGUGGGGAAUAUUGCACAAUGGGCGCAAGCCUGAUGAAGCCAGGCCGCGUGUAGGAAGAAGGCCUUCGGGUUGUAAAGUACUUUCAGCGGGGAGGCGUUACCCGCAGAAGAAGCACCGGCUAACUCCGUGCCAGCAGCCGCGGUAAUAC
rnacentral:rRNA from 1 species